UAGGGAAUCUUCCACAAUGGACGAAAGUCUGAUGGAGCAACGCCGCGUGAGUGAAGAAGGGUUUCGGCUCGUAAAACUACUGUUGUUAAAGAAGAACAUAUCUGAGAGUAACUGUUCAGGUAUUGACGGUAUUUAACCAGAAAGCCACGGCUAACUACGUGCUAG
rnacentral:rRNA from 1 species